ACACACACACACACACUCAUACACUCUCUUACACACACACACACACACACACACACACACACACACACACCAAGGGGGGACCUUGGGGAGUAGGAGGGAGUGGUCAUUUAGAGCUCUUUCUAACGUUCACUUCAUGUGGUCACUUCACUGGAGGUUUUCCUUGUGCUUUGAGAUGGAAGUGUGUGUUUUCUCAUCUUUACUCACCGUACUGUGUGUGGGUCUGUUUGGGAGAUAUACAUACGCAGCAGAGUCUGAAAGGAGAGAAGAGUUACAGCUAGUACUAAUGACUGUUAUUUACAUAUAAUAAUAAUAAGAAGAAAUAUAGCUGCAAGCAGCGAUGGCGGC